GACGAACCGUGCGAACGUUGUGCGGAAUCACUGGGCUUAAAGGGCGCGUAGGCGGCCGGGUUGGUCGUGGGGGAAAUCCCCCAGCUUAACUGGGGAACUGCCUACGAUACUGCCUGGCUCGAGGGAGGAAGGGGCGGUCGGAACUGUCGGUGGAGCGGUGAAAUGCGUUGAUAUCGACAGGAACGCCGGUGGCGAAAGCGGCUCACUGGACCACAACUGACGCUGAGGCGCGAAAGCUAGGGGAGCAAACAGG
rnacentral:rRNA from 1 species